rnacentral:rRNA from 1 species
CAACGACUCUCGGCAACGGAUAUCUCGGCUCUCGCAUCGAUGAAGAACGUAGCGAAAUGCGAUACUUGGUGUGAAUUGCAGAAUCCCGUGAACCAUCGAGUCUUUGAACGCAAGUUGCGCCCGAAGCCAUCCGGCUGAGGGCACGUCUGCCUGGGUGUCACGCAACAUGUCGCCCCCAAGCCCAAUCCCUCCCCAGCAUCAAGGGGUGCGGCGGCGGCGCGGGGCGC